rnacentral:rRNA from 1 species
GAUGAACGCUGGCGGCGUGCCUAAUACAUGCAAGUCGAGCGAACGGACGAGAAGCUUGCUUUUCUGAUGUUAGCGGCGGACGGGUGAGUAACACGUGGAUAACCUACCUAUAAGACUGGGAUAACUUCGGGAAACCGGAGCUAAUACCGGAUAAUAUUUUGAACCGCAUGGUUCAAAAGUGAAAGACGGUCUUGCUGUCACUUUAGAUGGAUCCGCGCUGCAUUAGCUAGUUGGUAAGGUAACGGCUUACCAAGGCAACGAUGCAUAGCCGACCUGAGAGGGUGAUCGGCCACACUGGAACUGAGACACGGUCCAGACUCCUACGGGAGGCAGCAGUAGGGAAUCUUCCGCAAUGGGCGAAAGCCUGACGGAGCAACGCCGCGUGAGUGAUGAAGGUCUUCGGAUCGUAAAACUCUGUUAUUAGGGAAGAACAUAUGUGUAAGUAACUGUGCACAUCUUGACGGUACCUAAUCAGAAAGCCACGGCUAACUACGUG